rnacentral:rRNA from 1 species
AGGUUGAACGCUGGCGGCAUGCCUUACACAUGCAAGUCGAACGGCAGCACGGGAGCAAUCCUGGUGGCGAGUGGCGAACGGGUGAGUAAUACAUCGGAACGUGCCUAGUAGUGGGGGAUAGCCCGGCGAAAGCCGGAUUAAUACCGCAUACGACCUACGGGUGAAAGCGGGGGAUCGCAAGACCUCGCGCUAUUGGAGCGGCUGAUGUCAGAUUAGGUAGUUGGUAGGGUAAAAGCCUACCAAGCCGACGAUCUGUAGCUGGUCUGAGAGGACGACCAGCCACACUGGGACUGAGACACGGCCCAGACUCCGUACGGGAGGCAGCAGGUGGGGAAUUUUGGACAAGUGGGCGCGAAGCCUGGAUCCAGCCAUGCCGCGUGGACGGGAAGAAGGUCCCGUUCGGGUUACGUAAACCGUCGUUUUAGGUCGUAAGGGAAGAAACCGCACGUUAGACGUACCAACGUUACCC